GGAAGGGGAAAGGGCGGCCCUUCACUUUGUGGCGCGCAGGCGGCGUGACUUUUGUGGGGCCGCUGAGCCUGAAAUGGCGGUCGGAAGAUUUAGCCCCGAAGAGAAUCUACUUUGGGAUGCAAGGAGGUGCCUGGAGGGAGCGGCGAGUUGCAGCCUUGGAGCUUGUGACGUGAGUCUGGAAGCGCGCGCGCGCUUUCUGCGUAAGCUACAAGCGCAUGGAGGUAGUGGAAGACACGCGUCAAAGUCUACCUACAGUUUUGGAUGACAAGCAUCACACUUAAAAGUUAAAGUUGUCAACCAGUCGUAUCAUUACUUGUAAACCCAUUUAGCCCGGUUGAUGUCACAGAAGCUGCGGUGGCCAUUGGGAAACUGUCAGGCUGAAGUUGAAGAAACAGCUGGAGAUUGUGGACUUUCAAAAUGAUUUAGUUUUAAAAGGAUCUAGUUGAUUCACAAGUUUCCUUUGUUGAGAAAUAUGGCUGCAAAGAUAAAACCUUACAUUGGAUCAACUAUGUGAGUCACUUCUCAGCAAUAAAAUGUAUUGAAUCAAAAAAACAAAACCGUGACUGAUUCGUGUCAAGCAUUGCAGUAGUCUGGAGCAGUGUUUUUCAGCCACUGCUAUGGAACGUAUGUAUGGACAAGGCACAGUUCACUCAACACACUAGCAGAACCUUAUGCAGUUAAAUGGAAGAAACAGUUACACCAAAGACCAUGAUUGUCAUCAGUUGGAAGAUGAAUCAGGUGACCUAUGUCCUGCUCCAUUACAAUCAUUCUGAUGCUCCAUGUUCAACAACGGUUCAUGGCUGGACUUGAUGACAGAUGCCUUCCAAUCUGUUAUAUAAAGUUAUUUCUUCCAGAUGGCAUGCUACAAGCUCUGAUUUUGCAUCAGACAGUACCUCUGGUUCUGCUAGUGAGCUAGAAUCUGUUUAUGACUGAUGAUUAGUGAAUAUAGCUUAGAAUUCUGAGGUUUAUUUUUCUCUAUUUGUGUCUCACAAGUCACUUUUUCAUGUACAUUUAUAAGGGCAUUCAUUACAUGUAUCUGUAUUGAUGUUGAUUUCCUUAAAAAAUAAAAAGUGAUUUCAAAACAGAA